GCAAGGAAAAAGAAACCUGAAAAGGGCAGAGCGUGUGCGGGGGGAGAAUUUUCUCCUCCAACUUCGUGGUGGCCAGACCUCUUUUCCAAAGCUCCCAGCCCACUGCCGCUCUUCUCCCCUGCCCUCCUCUUCUUGUUUCUAGUUAAAUUCCUCUCAUCUCUUCCAUCUCUCUUUUUUUCUCUCCACUGCCGCCGCCACCACCAGGAAGGGACCAGGGCUGUUCGCCGACAUUGGCAACAGAGGCAGCAACAGGGUUGUUUGCUGCCUGUGGCUCGAGUCGUGCGGGGUCAGCAUGGUUAAGUGCACCCUACGACCUUUUUCACAUUCUCUUCCCCCCACCCGAUCUUCUCAGCCAAUACGUCUCUCCCCGCUUUGAAGUCUUCCAUGGCAUCCGACUCUCCGAUCGGCGGCCAUUCUGGCGCUCCGAUCUUCUCCUUCUAUGUUCGCCGCCACUGGGUUCUACUUUGGCGUAACGGCAUUUAUGGGUUUCGUGUCGAAUGUUAUCAGACUUUCUUCUUCAAAGCAUGUUCCUCUGUGGGAGCUUCUUUGGUUUUCUAUUGUUGCCAACACAUCCAUCGCUGGGAUGAACUUGAGUCUUAUGCUCAAUUUUGUUGGCUUUUAUCAGAUCUCGAAGCUGAGUAUGAUUCCAGUUGUAUGUGUGAUGGAGUGGAUCCUUCAUAGUAAGCACUAUUCUAAAGAAGUGAAGAUGGCUGUGGUGGCAGUUGUUGUUGGUGUUGGUGUCUGCACCGUGACGGAUGUGAAAGUAAAUGCCAAGGGGUUUCUGUGUGCUUGUAUUGCAGUAUUGUCCACAUCCUUGCAACAAAUUCAUGUCAAAUCGAAGAAGAGAACUAUUCUAUAUCAGAACUCAGAUCAAUCUGGAAAUUAGUCAAAAUGUCAUGAUGGACCUGCUUCUAACACUUGGAAGGAUUUUCAAUGAUGCAAGGGAAUUUCCUUGUAUACAUGAAAUGUUUACUUCUGUUCAACAGGCAUAGACCAUCUAUUUCGAUUCGACAGCCUAGAAGGAUCGAUUUCCAGUUUGUUAAGAUCUCAAGGAUACCAAUUUGUCAAUCAUUUGCCAAUUGUAGGCAAAUAAAAUGUGCCGCAACUGGAGGGAAUGGCCAUCGGGAAUUGAUGUCUAAAGACAAAUUUGAUUCUUUGGAGCCAUUCUUGUUAUGUAUGAUGAAGGAUGUUGCUUGGAGUUUGAGAUCGUUGGCUAUCUUUUUGCAUGAGCUACCUAUUCAAUCAAGAGGAGGCACUUAAUGUUUUCAGAAUAAGGCUUCUUGGGGCUCAGGUUUCUCUGAGCCCGAUGCUCCAUUGCUUGUAAAGGACAAAAAUCAAGCUUUAAUGAAAUAUGCUAUGGACACUCAUAUUGUUUGAUGGAAAGAUUA